rnacentral:lncRNA from 1 species
GAUUAAUGAGAGAAGCACUAGAGCGUAACCUAUGUGCAGAAGGCCGUACAGGUCACAGAGGUGACUCCGGCAGAGUGAUAGUGAUAGAUUUUGAGCUCUAGAUUCAACCGUACAGGGCUAUUAGAGGGCCUCCGGUUGAUUUCUUUCUUGCACCUGAUAUGAUUAUUGUUGAUGCAUUCAUACUUAACUGUUCAAUUUAGACAUGGCAUGGCAUAACUGAUAUGAAAAUGUUGAGUUAAUGAAAAGUAAGUAUUGAGAAUAUAUAUGUAUAUUUAUAUUUUACAUUUCUGGGAAAGUAUACAGGUUUUACGGAGAGGGGUUACAACGUUUUGAGAAAUGUUUGGAAUUGGAAAAGAAUUGUUUUACUGACCCACUCAAUUUUGGUUUUGCGCCCCUCCAGGUUCAGGAAUCACAAAGGUGUGGUGACUACGAGGAAUUCAGCGGGCUUCUGACAGAUUGGACAAAAUUAGGACUCACCUUCGGGUGUAUCAAAUUAUAAAUUGUAUAAUUAAAGCUUCCGUACUGUGCAAAUGGUUACGUCACUCUCACGUGACGGCCAGCAUGCCCUCCUUCGGGACGGGGUGUGUCAGUUGGUAUCAGAGCAUGGUUGCAAUCUUGGACAUCUUGAGAAGUUUCUAGUGAAUUCUGUCAGAACUACACCGCCUCGUAGCAAACCACGUAGUUAGAGGAAUUUAGUCUCCCUAAUAUAGCGGUUUUGGGGGAAACUAUUACUAUGGUGAUUCAGUCUAUUGUCUAAAGGGACAUUUUAAGAUGGGUUAUGAGUUGAAUUUGAAUCACUUAAGAGAAAUGAUGAACCUGAGGGAGCGAAGUAACGGUUUAACCAUUUGGAAAAGAUGUUUCGGAUUAUGCAAGUCAAAGGAAUCUUCCUUCUGACAAGGGGUCGAGAUGACUACCUGGUUUUGGUUAUGAAUUUGUAUCCUGGUGGAAACAGGAGUAUGAUUUGUUGUCACCGGAGGAACAGUCGAUUGAGAAUUGUUUAAGGACUUGUUUAAGGAAAAGUUUAUCCCUCCGGCAUUUAUCGAUGGUAGUAAACAAGAGUUUACAAAUAUGAGACAAGGAAGGUGAUGAUCGAGGGAUAUUAUAGAAAGUUUUCAGACUUGCCUCGUUUCAACCAGAUAUUGUUGUUAAUUUGGUGGAGGUGUUAUGUUGUUUUAAGCUGGGUGGCAAAAAGGGAAGUGGUAUUUUGGGUGACCACUACCCAUUGUACUUCUUACCAGGAAUAUACGAGAUGCUGUUGAGUCUUGAGGACUCUGAGAGCAUGAUCAACGAGAGUAAAGAGGAAUAAGAAAUGAAUGGGAAUUAAAAGAAGACGAUAAAGUUAAUGAUUCGUCAUAUCAAGGAGAUAGAAAGAUUCAGAGCUUCGAAAGAAGUGAAGCUAGAGUUAAUUCUUCCAGCUGAGGUUUUAAUGUCGCUGGUCAGAGUAAAAGUGAUGGAUAUACUGGUAAUCCCAGAUAUUUGAGACAAGGUGUCUCGAGUAAAGGAAAUGUACCUUGUGCAGCAGGUAAAAAAUUAACACUUUGGGAAGUGUGAAAUUAAUGAAUGUGUUUAUGUGAACAGAGGGGACACAGAAUUGUGAAUCGUCCCUAGAAUCAGUUGUACUCAACAAUUUUCCAUGAUAUCAUAGUGUCAAUUUAGCAGAAUUAUGGACUUAGUAGUUUGGUCGGAUUGACCGUGGGUACAGAGAGAUUUGAUGAGUUAUAUGUUCAGCUGUACAGACCAUGAGAGGUGGAUUUGGCUGACGCAUGAGAAAUUGGUGAGUUAUAGGCUCGGCCGUACCGACCACGCGGAGUGGAUCCGGCCGACGUAUUAUUGAGAUGAGAGUUGAAUCAGCCGUAUUGGUCAUUCUAGUUGACUUCGGCUGAUAUAUUUCUUAUUAUGUAUGUUAUAUCUUUGAGAGUGGUUGCCUACUUAUCGAGACAACGAUGAUUUAUCAGUAUUGCGGGCUGCAGACCGUAAUAUUAAUAACUCAUUCGUGGAUUCGUUAAGCAAGUAACCCGGUAGAUUAUUUUAUGUUAGUAUUGUACUUAUUUAGAAUGCUUAAUAAUAAUAGAAUAUAUAUUGUAUCGGUUAAUUCUGUUCCAUUAAAUUGGUUGAUUAUAAUCGUGACUAGAUGGAUUGUUACGGGAAACCAGUCACUUUCCAUCGAUCUGGAUGAUCAGAGGUUACCUUAAUGAGUGGGCAUGCAAAGUGAAGUGAGUUCAGCCAUUAUUUAUGCUGUGAAAGCAAAGAGAUUGUUUUGAAAGGCUGCCCAAAAAUACUUAGUUUAUGUGGUACUAAAUGAUGUUGUUUGGAGUAGUGUGAAUAAUGUCAAAAGGGUUAGACUUUUCUUGAUGUCUUCCUUGAAAGUAUACCUGGAUUGCCUUCAGGCAGAGAUAUGAGGUUCACUAUUGAAUUGUUGCCAGGUAUAAAUUUAUGUUAAAGAAUUGGUUGAUAAAAGUUUUAUUCAACCGAGUACAACACUUUUGAGGAGCCCAGUUUGUUGGUGAGGAAGAAAAUGGAUCUUGAAACUGUUCAUUGAUUCUAGACAAUGGAGUCGGGUAAUGAUUGAGAAUCGUUAUCCAUGGUGAUGUACUGAUGUUUAUUUAACCAGCUCAGAAGUAAUUGCGAAGAUUCAAAGAUUGAAUUGAGAUCUGGUUACUACCAAUUGAAUAUUAUGAGUAACGUUGUUCCUAAGAUUGUUUUUCUGGACUCGUUAUAGUCUUUAUGAAGUUUGGUGAUGCUAUAUGGAUACUCAUGCUGUUUUAUGAGUUGAUGGAUGAAGUAUUCCAGGAAUGCCUUGAUAGAUUGAUAUCAUUUGUCAUUGACGAUAUUCUGGUACAUUCUGAGCCAGAGCAGAGCAUGUAAACGUAUUAAGUCGAUGAAGCAAAGAUUGGAAGAAUGUCGAUUGUAUGCUAAGUUUAGCAAAUGCGAAUGUUGGAUGAAUUAAGUGGCAUUCUGAGAUUUGUUAUAUAUUCUUAAGGUAUUCAAGUGAAUCUUUAAAAGAUAGCAGAAAUUGAGAAUUUGGAACAACCACGAGUCGUAAUUGAGAUUUGGAGUUUCUUAACUUACCAGGCUAUCUUGGAUGGUUGUGAAAGAGUUUUUAGUCAUUGCUUUGUCAUUAACGAGACUGUUGAGAAAAGAGGUUAUGUGUGAGUGGGAAGGAAAUUGUGAGCAAAGGAUUCAACAACUGAAGUAUUUCCUCACUCAUGCACGUAUUUUGGUAUUCCCAGAGAAUAGUGGUAAUCAUAAAUUUUUAGUGAUGUUUCUUGAAUGGUAUUGGAGGCAUGUUGAUACAAAUGUUAGGGUGAUUGCAUACGUUUCACGAUAAAUGGAACCUCAUGAGAUGAAUUACCCUACUGGUGAUUUGGAAAUCACGAUUACCAUCCUUGCUGUGAAGUUAUGAAGGCAUUAUAUUUGGUAAGAAUGCAAGAUUUUUACGAAUCCAAAAAGUCUUCAAUAUCCAUUACUCGGAAGGAUUUUGAUCUAAGGUAGCGAAGGUAAAUUUAAUUGUUUAAUGUAUAUGAUUGUACGACCAGGGUGAUCGUAAAGUUUGUUCUAGCUGAAGCACUUGGGGAGAAGACUACAGUAAGAUUAAUGUCUGGCACGUUUGCCAAGAGUAUCACCUUGUGGAUUGAAAACCCACGGAAGAAAAAUUAAGAAUGGAAGAUCGAGAAGAAGUUAUAUUUGUUAAAUUUCAAGUUAGGCAUGUUUGGUAAGGUCGUACUCGAAACUUAAAUGUUUGACGAGGAAAUUUAAGAAUUAACCAAGGCAGAGAAAGAAGGGAAAAAGAAUGAGUACAUGAUUCGUGAAUCAAAUGGUAUGUGGAUACAAGCAAACGAAAAAGUAUGUGCCUAAUGCUGAGGAUUUGAAGCAAGCAAUUUUGGACAAAGUACACUGUUCAGCUUCUGCAAUAUUCCAAAAGUAAUAAGAUUUAUCAUACCACUCGACAGUUUUAUUUGAUCAGCAGAUUGAGGCAGAAAGAGAUAAACCUUUGGAUUGAGACAGCUAUUUUCUGUUUCGCAGCGGAAAUGGAAAAAGAUUACUUUGGAUUAUGUGUACAAGCUUCCUUGUACACAUAAUGGUUAUGGUCGAAUUUGAAGUGUUAGUUGGUCAAUGUACCAAGUUAGUACAAUUACUCCAGUGCUGAGUAAUAACUUUUCCCAGACAGGACAACGGUACUUAUUUGCUUUAUGGAAAGAAGAAUUGGUUUACGGAACUGCUGAGUUUCUUAAGUAUGUUGGUUGUGCAGUUUUCGAAGUAACGCCAUAAGGACCAUGAAAUGUGUCAUGUGAGUCGGUUUUUGUUGACUUGUGGAUGGAAUGUUGCUGGUUAGAGAAAGAUUCGAUCACGAAAGAAGUUUAGUAUACCCAGAAACUAUGGAGGAGUCUCCUAAAAGUAUUCAGGUGAUUAAGUGAACCUGAAAGUAACCAGGAGUGGCAAAAGAGAUUAACAGAGGGAUAUGCCACUAAUCAAGUGUUUAACGUAGAAGGUUUUAUAUUUUCGAAGUUUUCACCUUGGAAAAGUAUAAUUCGAUCUGGAAAGAAGGUAAGUUAAAUCCUAAGUGAAUCGGACUUUAAGUGAUUAUCGAAAAGUUGGUGAAGUUGAUUACAGAUUUGAAUGGCUUCCAGAGUUGUCGUAAGUGCAUAAUGUAUUUUGUGUUCGAUGCGUUGUCACUAGGUGGCAGAGUCGUCUCAUGGAAUUCUGGUGCAACUACUGAGAAUUAAAUUGGAUUCGACUUGAUAAGGAACCAAGGACGACUUUGGAUUGGAAAAAGAAGGUCCUGAAAAUUAAGACUGAGUAAAUGGUAAAAGCUUUGUGAAGGAAAUCAUUCAGUAGGAAAUUAUGUUUGUUGGAGUAUGGUUGAUUUAGUUGGUUGCAGGAAUUUCGGGGACGAAAUUCUAUAAGGAGGGAAGAUUGUCACAGCCCGUCCCGGAAUUUUAAUUCCGAUGACGUGAAAAGAUGAAAAUGCCCUUAAACGGGACUAAGGGGCGAAAAUUUAACAAUUGGUUUACUUAAAGUUCCUAAGUUAUUUGGUGUUAGGAACUUAAACUAGGAUUUAGGUUUACAUUGCUACGUUUGAUUUUGUGUUUGGGGUUCAGGUAGGGCCUCACAUCCUAAAUCCCUCCUCAUUUCCCGUAUACUGUCAUUCUCUCUCUCUUUUCCUCAGACCUCACUCUCUCUCUCACCCUCUCGAACACACGGGCAACCAUCAAAACCACCCUAAAUCUAUACCAACGCCGGAUUUAAAACUACCAUUGCACUCCUGAGGACUCCACGAUCACGUAGACACCAAUUUCAGGUAAGUUUUACUUCGGAAAACCUAGAUUCUAAACUCCCCGUGAAAGUGCACUGUUCAUGCACACGUAAAUCUUGAUGUUUCAGGGAAUUUCAAGCUCACAGUGAGCUUAAGGAGGUCACGAGGAGGCUUGGAGUGCCUCGUUUGAACAAAAUGGACGUCGGGAUCACUUGGUUCGAGUUUGGCCGAAUUUUGGAAUUAUUGGAAAGGUAUGAUCUCGUUGUUUUUAGACCUUAAAACCAUUCCAACGUGAUAGUAGGUGUUUAGGGCUUCAUUUUGGUAUAAAGUACGAAAAAAAUGGACGAAAAACGAGUGAGAAUAGUUAAAUAGAAAAUUUUCCCAGUUUUUCGGUGACCGGAGUCCGGCGAGAGUCCAUCGGAGAAGAAGCAGGAAUAUUCCGUUAGUUCUAACGGAAUAUUCCUGACGCCGUUAACGGAACGGUUAGGUUUUAACGGAAUAUUCCGGGGUUUAACGGAAUAUUCCUGACGGCGUCAAUUGACACCGUCAGUGUGCUUGGCACGUGGCCGCGCGUGGGGGGCGCGUAGGUCCGUGCCACGUCAGGCGCGUGGGGGCGCGUGAGGACUCCAAAAAAAAUUAUUUUAAAAAUAUGGGGAUGAUCCUGAGGUUGUGUAGGUCACGGUGGUAUAUUCAUAUACCCAAUUUGAGCAAUAUAUGAGGAGUUAUUAGCUAAGAGUGGGAUUAUGCGUUAAAUAACGUCAAUUUGAUUACUUCUCGUAUAGGCGAGGAUUAUACGGACAUCGGGCAUGGCCAAAGGAUGCUCAGGGACCUACGAGACGUCGAUGUAAUCUGUGAGUGGGCAGUUUUGUUUUCCGUAUAUAUAUAUACUUGACGAUUUCCCAGAAAUUGAAUUAGAGUGAAAUUAUGUUUUAAAUGAAAGGUAUAUAGAAUGAUAUGAAAACGUGAAUUGAAAGAUCAUGCAUAGAAGUAUAUGAAAUAUAUAUGGAAAUGUAAAUUGAAUUGCCAUGCAUGAAAUGAUAUGAAAAGUAUGAUUUGAGAUAUAUGAUGCAUAUGAAUGAAUGGUGCGGCGGACGCACAUGUGAGUAUCAGGUGAGUAUUUAAUUACUGUUAUGAUGAUGUUGAUGUAUAUUGAGCUCAAAUCCUGCACCUUGGUUUAAUGCUUAUAGUAUUCACCGCAUCGCACGCUCGUCUUGGAUCCAAGUAGAUGCUGGUCGCACAGUCCACGCGGAGUGGGUGCGACGGGCCAGUCGAAGAGUGUUAGUGAGAUUUCGACUGGUGGGUGACCUUAGAUUAUGUGCACAAAUGAUUAAUGAGAGAAGCACUAGAGCGUAACCUAUGUGCAGAAGGCCGUACAGGUCACAGAGGUGACUCCGGCAGAGUGAUAGUGAUAGAUUUUGAGCUCUAGAUUCAACCGUACAGGGCUAUUAGAGGGCCUCCGGUUGAUUUCUUUCUUGCACCUGAUAUGAUUAUUGUUGAUGCAUUCAUACUUAACUGUUCAAUUUAGACAUGGCAUGGCAUAACUGAUAUGAAAAUGUUGAGUUAAUGAAAAGUAAGUAUUGAGAAUAUAUAUGUAUAUUUAUAUUUUACAUUUCUGGGAAAGUAUACAGGUUUUACGGAGAGGGGUUACAACGUUUUGAGAAAUGUUUGGAAUUGGAAAAGAAUUGUUUUACUGACCCACUCAAUUUUGGUUUUGCGCCCCUCCAGGUUCAGGAAUCACAAAGGUGUGGUGACUACGAGGAAUUCAGCGGGCUUCUGACAGAUUGGACAAAAUUAGGACUCAC